rnacentral:rRNA from 1 species
UUUAAAUUGAGAGUUUGAUCCUGGCUCAGGAUGAACGCUGGUGGCGUGCCUAAUACAUGCAAGUCGUACGCUAGCCGCUGAAUUGAUCCUUCGGGUGAAGUGAGGCAAUGACUAGAGUGGCGAACUGGUGAGUAACACGUAAGAAACCUGCCCUUUAGUGGGGGAUAACAUUUGGAAACAGAUGCUAAUACCGCGUAACAACAAAUCACACAUGUGAUCUGUUUGAAAGGUCCUUUUGGAUCGCUAGAGGAUGGUCUUGCGGCGUAUUAGCUUGUUGGUAGGGUAGAAGCCUACCAAGGCAAUGAUGCGUAGCCGAGUUGAGAGACUGGCCGGCCACAUUGGGACUGAGACACUGCCCAAACUCCUACGGGAGGCUGCAGUAGGGAAUUUUCCGCAAUGCACGAAAGUGUGACGGAGCGACGCCGCGUGUGUGAUGAAGGCUUUCGGGUCGUAAAGCACUGUUGUAAGGGAAGAAUAACUGAAUUCAGAGAAAGUUUUCAGCUUGACGGUACCUUACCAGAAAGGGAUGGCUAAAUACGUGCCAGCAGCCGCGGUAAUACGUAUGUCCCGAGCGUUAUCCGGAUUUAUUGGGCGUAAAGCGAGCGCAGACGGUUUAUUAAGUCUGAUGUGAAAUCCCGAGGCCCAACCUCGGAACUGCAUUGGAAACUGAUUUACUUGAGUGCGAUAGAGGCAAGUGGAACUCCAUGUGUAGCGGUGAAAUGCGUAGAUAUGUGGAAGAACACCAGUGGCGAAAGCGGCUUGCUAGAUCGUAACUGACGUUGAGGCUCGAAAGUAUGGGUAGCAAACGGGAUUAGAUACCCCGGUAGUCCAUAC